UGAGUGGCGGACGGGUGAGUAACGCGUGGGCAACCUGCCCUGUACAGGGGGACAACACUUAGAAAUAGGUGCUAAUACCGCAUAACGGGGGAGCCGCAUGGCACCCCCUGAAAACUCCGGUGGUACAGGAUGGGCCCGCGUCUGAUUAGCUGGUUGGCAGGGUAACGGCCUACUAAGGCGACGAUCAGUAGCCGGCCUGAGAGGGCGGACGGCCACACUGGGACUGAGACACGGCCCAGACUCCUACGGGAGGCAGCAG
rnacentral:rRNA from 1 species